AAACAAUCAAAUAAAAUGUUGCACAACUAGCAGUUCCAUCAAUAAUAACAUAUUUUAGUUGCUUCAAGUAAAAUCGAAUUAGUAUCAGUGUUGCCAUCAAAGUGCGUCACACCUUAAUUCACAGUAUUAAUUAGCCAUGUCACCCACAUAGAGGUACCGCACUUUAAGCUAUUGUUGCAGUCUAGUGAGAAUCUCUAGAGUGGGGGAACAUG